UCUAGAAGGCCAUGGUAAUUCCUGUCUAUGACCAAUAUUUCUCCUCACAUUUUCCAUUAGUCAAUCAUAGCAGAAACCUCUUCUAAAUUUUCACAAUAAUUCCAUAAAUUUGUAUAACAUUUUUGAGUAGAAAACUUGUCUUUAGAAAAUCAAAAAUAUGUCUCAAAGAAAUAUUGGUGAAACAGAUUCACAACAAAGAAUAUAUUUAGACGAAGAGGAGGUGAGAUCCUACCACUCGGGAACAAGCUGCCCGGCCUCCAAUGACUCCAAUGAAUCGGUUUGGUCAACCCAAGGCUGUAUAAUAGAAGUAAAGUCCUCCUCUACUCCAAUGUGGGAUGAUAAUACACCCACAGCAUUAGUGCCUCCGCAUCGCCGGAACAGUCAAAUAAGACUUUUACUGCAAAUGUGGGAUAUUGACGUUCAAGAAUUGCGCGAUGCGCUUGACGUGGAACAAGAAGUGCCGAUAUCGGCUGUAGUCAUUGGUCGAGAUCAUCCUGCUUCUAGCCCGGCAGCCUUGGCCGGAUAUCGGUACCGAACCCUCUGAUAGAUAGCAAGCAAAUUAAAUUUUAGCAGCAACAAAAUCUCUCGUCAUGGCGACGUUAAGUGGCAUCUGCAGCUGCAGCAAAUCCACACCCACCGGAGUCGUCCUCUGUGCCCUGCUCCUGUUGCUGUCCGCUUUCUGGUUGAUGGCUUGCGUUUAAAUUUGAAGUGCUGCUAAAUCAAGCCCCAUACAGUGGGAAAAUUACGAAAUUUUGAAUAAAAACAAUCUGUUGAUUUUUA